rnacentral:lncRNA from 1 species
CCUUUGUCAGGACGGCGGCCCUCAGCAGUCGUACGGCAUUUGGGGGAGCUGGCCGACCAUACGUCGGUAUUCGACUGUCGGGACGUCGGGUGAUGAUCCAGAGGCACCGUCGGCUGGUCUGGUGCCUUGCUUAAGUCGGAUGUCGGCUGCCACCCCCGACAGUGAGUCGGUAAUAUGGGUUCGGCCGCUCGGUCGGUCGGU